UACGAAGGGGGCUAGCGUUGCUCGGAUUCACUGGGCGUAAAGGGUGCGUAGGCGGGUCUUUAAGUCAGGGGUGAAAUCCUGGAGCUCAACUCCAGAACUGCCUUUGAUACUGAAGAUCUUGAGUUCGGGAGAGGUGAGUGGAACUGCGAGUGUAGAGGUGAAAUUCGUAGAUAUUCGCAAGAACACCAGUGGCGAAGGCGGCUCACUGGCCCGAUACUGACGCUGAGGCACGAAAGCGUGGGGAGCAAACAGG
rnacentral:rRNA from 1 species